UACAAUGAAUGGCUACCAGGCGUGAUUGAACACCUCUCUUCUACUGCCUUGUGAAGAUGAUCUGGAGAUUGAGACUGAUCAGGGUGACAUUUUUAUCCCAAUACUGCAAAAGUUCAAGAAUGUGCCAUACUUUUAUGAGGUAUUAUCAUUUCCCAAUAAUACCUAUUUUAUUAUGCUGAUGAACUUUUUGUUCAACCAACUAUGCUUUGCGAGUCGUUCGUGAACUCAAUGUUUCUAUUUGGGGGCAGAACCCAAUUGAUGUAUGGUGUGAAACAUUUAUCAAUUAAAACUAUAAUGAUUAGACGGUAUUAUCAGAUAUCUUCAUGAUUUAUGCUGUAUAUUUAUGAAACAAACCAUCAAAAUUGUUCGAACUUCCUAAUUAUUUGAAGACUAUGCAGACAGACAUCAAAAUCA